rnacentral:lncRNA from 1 species
AUCAGAAAAAGGUAUUUUCCAUUUGGAACUCUGAAUCCAGUUGGUUUCCGGUUCCAGUACAUUAAGGGAAUUGACAUUGAUGGUACUACUCUUUUUGCCACAGAUACAGACAGCUGCAGAGUCCUGGGUCAAGCCCUAGUGACUGCUGGAAGGUGCUGAGGGCUGCAAAGAGAGACGUGGAGUGGAACUAGAGAAGAUGCACACUUCUGAAGACAUCAUCAUGCCUGAGCAGCUUCUUGUGCUGUAUUACCUACGAGCUAUUCUCCAGCUGAAGCACCUACAGCACCAAGGGGUGAUAAAGAAUAUGAUAAUAUUUCACCUUUACUUCACUAAACUAUGCUGUACUGCCACAAAGAGCAUCUGUGGAACAGAGACUGAAUUUUUUUUCAUUUCGUCUGUGGGGGAGCCAAUUUAUAGUCCUUCCAACGACCUGCGGAGACUGCAUGAGAAAUACCACCUCCCAUUUAUCACCAGCCAGGCUGCCAGGAGGGAAUUUGAGACGGCCACAAAGAGGCUCACAGAUGCACAGGAGAGCAUCGUGGUGAAUUAUCUGGCCCACUCAGAUGGUAUUGCAGAGAAAUACUAG